CGGGUGAGUAACGCGUAGGAAUCUACCUGGUAGUGGGGGACAACAUGGGGAAACUCAUGCUAAUACCGCAUACGCCCUACGGGGGAAAGCGGGGGACCUUCGGGCCUCGCGCUAUCAGAUGAGCCUGCGUUGGAUUAGCUUGUUGGUGAGGUAAAAGCUCACCAAGGCGACGAUCCAUAGCUGGUCUGAGAGGAUGAUCAGCCACACUGGGACUGAGACACGGCCCAG
rnacentral:rRNA from 1 species